UCAGUGUUAUUGCCUAGCAAGACGACCACGCGUGUAGAAAGCACGACACAGUCAGGUACUGGAUCGGAAGAUGUGUCGCCGUUUUCUUGUAAUGUAAUCGUAUACUUCAUUUAAGUAAUUUAAUGUAAUUGAGAUUACGUGCAGGGUCGGUUUCAUUAUACCAGUUUAAUGGUGAAAUGUUAGCUUUAGUCUGUUAGACAAAGUACAUGUGAAUCGUGCGCGAUACCGAAGUCUAGACCUAUUUUUACAGUCUUAAUUGCAUGCUAAAUAGGAUGUCACAUAAUAUGUAUAAGAAGCGUGUGUUGUUUUGCAUCUGAUUCUUCUUGUCAUUAUGUGUGUUGAUGAUUGACAUAUCUAUUUCGGCAAUGAGUAGAUUAAUAAUACUUUGUGCUUAUGAAAUUGGCCAUUCAUAACCUUUAACGUUGACUAGUUAAUGCGCGACAUCAACCUUGCUAGAAUUAUAAUGCUUGUUCAUACGUGUGUUUCAGCAGGGUUUGAUUGGUGGCAUUAUCGCCGCUGUCGUGGUUAUUACCGCGUCCAUUACAGUGCUUUGUCGUUGUUAUACGGAGAAGAAAACCAAGAAGGAAACGUGAGGCGGCAAACAAGUGUGCAACAGAGAUGGUUACGACAAACAACGAAACUGAAAGUUUAGGCGACAUUUACGCGGUAUCAGCUAAAGUCGAGAAUCAGAACGGAAAUGAUUCCGUUGAAUAUGGGGUCGUAAACAAACGCCGAAUACACAAUCAAGUAUCAUCAUCCGGGAAUAUUCCGCUUGAUCCGGGGAAAAACUCGAGUAUUGCAGAAAGAAUCAUCGGUUGAUUGCAAAAGACAAAAAUCUUUGCAACAUGGUUACGACAGAAUUGAAAAAAUACCAGGGGAAGCUACCGAAGAUGAUGAAUACAACCGACUGAAUGAAAUAAUGGGGCCGGAGUACGUGAACAAGUCAGACAAUGUCUACAACCAUGUGCAGGGUAUUGACAACGACAUAUACGAUCACACGGCGGAUAACACGGACACGCAUGACAGACGGGCUUCGUAUUCCCAUGUAAAGGGGCCAUUCCCUUCAUCAGAACACCGACAUGAUGUAUACGACCACACAACUGAUGACUUCGAGACGCCUGAUAGACGGGAUUUGUAUUCACAUGUUAGAGGGCCUUCAGAACACCGAAAUGGUGCAGGAAGCAAUAUUUAGAAAAGAAAUGUUGUUGGUUGACGAAGUGUACAACGACUGUGACUUAAAAUCCGCGAUAAGUCAAUUUCGCAUAAUAAAUUGCACCAGUGUUAAAAUUACUUAUGAAGAUGAUGUACUAACAUAGUGCAAAGUAAUGGGUUCUCAGUUUGUAAAGAUAGAGCUUUAAAAUAGCGGAUAUAAAUGCGUGUUACAUAAGUGCAUAUUUAUAUUGCUAAACUAUUUCAAUACGUGGUAAUUGAGAAUAUAACGUGGUUAAAUGGAUACGUACAAACAUUUAAAAG